GUAGCAUCCCACUCUAUUAAAAACACAAUUAUAUGACUUCAUUUGUAUUUUCUUAUUUUUCUCUCCCAUUCUCAGGACCCGACUUUGCCCAGUCCCAAGCCAGCCAAAAUUCAGACCAAAAAACUCAAGGCAAGAGGUCUAACAGAUGGACAAGAUGUGACCCUGCAAAAGAAGACAAUGAAGAGAGCUCUGGGAAAUGAAUCUGCAGCCCCUCCUGUACCCACAAUAGGAAGGAAAGAAGGGCAUGGGAAAUCGGAACCUGACCAGCCAAGGUCAGGCCCUAAGAAAAAAUUUAAAGCUCCUCAAAGCAAAGCCUCAGGAACCAGCUUGUCUGAGGACAAGGAAGCUAGUAUGGUGCCCAAGGGCCUGACCCCACCAGCUCAUCGCGGGGUCUGUCCCAUGGGAGGGAAAGAAGGCUGGAAGUGUCCUCCAGAGGCUGGAAGUGUCCCCCCUGACGAUGACGCCUCCAGUGACCUGGACCUGGAGCAACUCCUAGAAGAUGUUGGAAGAGAGCCGGAGCAGCUGGAGGGGCCGCGGUGUGGAGAUGACCCUGGGGAGUUCACCUUGGCCUUCUUCGAGGAAUAGCUGUGUGCACCUGCCUCCCUGCUGCUCUCUCACCCCCUUCCCUGCCAGCAGCAGGGAGAGCCCCUCAGAGGGUCCCUGAGAGGCUGCUAAGGGUGGGGCUUGUUCAUCGGCUACAGGUCACCUGGCUGAAGUCCCAGCUGUGCAGUUUCUGUGUUAAUAAAACAGGUUACGGCUUU